rnacentral:rRNA from 1 species
AGAGUUUGAUCCUGGCUCAGAACGAACGCUGGCGGCGUGCCUAACACAUGCAAGUCCAAUGUGAAAGGGGAGCAAUCCCCCGGUAGGGUGGCAAACGGUGAGUAAUGCAUCGGAACGUAUCCUUGAGUGGGGGAUAACGCAGCGAAAGUUGUGCUAAUACCGCAUAAGCUCUGAGGAGGAAAGCGGGGGGCCGAAAGGCCUCGCGCUGAAGGAGCGGCCGAUGUCCGAUUAGCUAGUUGGUGAGGUAAAGGCUUACCAAGGCGACGAUCGGUAGCUGGUCUGAGAGGAUGAUCAGCCACACUGGGACUGAGACACGGCCCAGACUCCUAC